GAAAAUGGUAAAUUUCUAUCUAGCUAUUCGAACACCUACAAAGAAGGUGAUGAAAUUUCAUAUAUGUGUUUUCCUGAAAAUCUGCAAGUCAAAGUUGCAUGCACAAAGAAUGGCUGGUCACCUACUCCAAAAUGUACUUCACGAUGAAUAAAAAGAAGCAUCAAGCAGAUAAUUUUAACUGAGAUCUGAGGAUCAAAAUCCAUUGACCAGUUAUUUGUAAUGUUCACACAUUAUGUCCUUUGUCAGUAUUUUAGCUUAAAUUGAUUACAUGUAUCAGUUCAGUCACUUUUUUUUAUCAUUGGUCACAAUGGUUUAAAAUAUACAAUCAUAAAAUAGUAACAACAGAUGGGCAAAUAAGUUCAAACUCAGCUCAAACUACAGGUUUUUAUGAUAUUUGGAAAAGGAAAUUUUAAGGGAAAUUGUACACAUCUGCACAUCCUGAAUUACACACUUCCUGCUCGCUGAAACAGAAAGCAACGGUAUUUCCCUCUGGCCCAAAUCAGGAACUCCAGGAAGUCUCAUUAGAAACCUUAAUCUUGGGAGAUUUUUAGCCCAAUCACCACACCAGAAAGUUUGGGAUAUGCAUGGAGGCUUUUUUGAGUUCUGCCCAUCACUAUUAGCUGUUGGUGAUCUUUCUUCCAAAUGUUUUAGUCCAUGCAACCAACAAAUGAUCCUGUCAUCUAGCACAGUUGUACAGAAAACAUUGGCUUCUCUGGUUAAAAUUUAAACUCAUAGUGUCUUAAUUAUGUUUCCUUUUUAAAAUUAAAGAUUUGUAUGUUUCAUUUAC